UAGACUCCUUCCCAGGACUGGUACUGCCAAGAACUUCCAGGGAAGCUUUAACAGCCAGCAGUGUGAUCUCUGUGUGCCCUGGACAGGCACUGGCUCCAAGCUGGGCUGGGCACUAUUUCAAUUACCCACUCUCUCUCUCAAAAAGCUGCUUUUUCACUUGAUUUUCUCAUUCCCUGCAGCCUCAUUUGCAAAAUGAAAACAAAACCGAGAAUAACCUCCCCUUGUAAAAACCUUGCGAGAGGUAACUCGGGCUGUUAGCUCCCUUUGAGCUGCCGGGAUCUGCCUGGUUUUCCGCCCCACUCCUUCAGAAGAGCCCAUUAUGAGAUUUGUAUCGGAAAUCAAUGGCGAGGAGCUGCAGAAACUAGAGCGAAAAUGUGAGCCUCGUCCUGCCUCCAAUGGGGAAGUGAAAAGCAAGAAUGGUCUCUCAGUCAUGCCACUCCAGCAAUAAUGUUUUUUUCCAACGAAGCUUUCAGCAGUAAGAAAUGGGAAAGAUUAUAGACACAGAGCCUGCAGUUCCAUUCAAAAAGAUCUUUGUUAGCAGCAGCAAUGAAAAGAGGGAAAAAAGCCCACAAAAUUCCUCCACUUAAAGCACGAUCUCAAAACAUAUGCUUACAAUCCUGGAAAUCUUUGGGAGAUUCAGGGCGUUCAACAGCUGCAGCUGAGCUUACAAUGAACAUUGCAAAUAAAUGCUAAUGAGAUGCUUAUA